rnacentral:lncRNA from 1 species
GGAGUGGGGUCUGGCGUCCCGGCGACCGUCGCCGUCGUCCUCGUUAGUAUAGUGAUCCAGAAGUUCUACUUCUAACCUAAAAUCCUACACAAUGGUUGCUUUGUAAAACACGUUUCAUAACAUCCUCCACCCUACACGUUUAGAGGUCCUCUAGUACUGAACUAGAGGCUCCUGUACUUUUCCCUCCAGAAACAAAUCCUUUGAGAGCUGCUUUCCUGCAGAACCUCGCAGCCAGCAAGACUUUGCAGAAUGACAAAUAAGAGCAAAUAAAAAGCCCCAUCAUAGGAAGGACUAUGGAAGAAAGGAAAAAGCUUUAUAGUUCACUACUCUUCACAGCACUUUUCUUGCUGCUUUUUUCAGAAGAGGUUGCAUUUUCACUUUGCACUAGACCCGACAAUUUAUGUAGCUGAUGCUGGUACCAGAAGAAUCUGAGCAGGAAACGAAUCUGGUCAAAGCACGUGGUUGGAUUUUCGUGACCCAGUGCUUCCAAAAGGCCAAACCUCACCUCUGCUCCACCUGCCCCCACUCUUGGAUCCAGCAGCCUCACACUUCCCAGGCCUCUGCCCUGACAUCUGCCUCCCUAGAAGGAUGAAGAGCAGUAGCGCCUGGAAUUCCAACCAUCUGCCACAGUCUUGCAUGGCACAGGUGACUACUGCUGAUGUGGUGGAAAUUUCUGAUUUUUUAAUGUUGACUUUGUAGCCAGCAAUCUUAUUGAACUAUUUUAUUCAUUCUAAUAGUUUACUAAUAAUUCUGCUUCAUUUUCUAUGUAGCUAAUCAAAACAAAUGUGCCUCUUUGAGAAACUAUAUAGCACCAAGGUUAAAAGGUGAAAUCUGGAAGCCAUAAAAACUAGUUUCAAAACUGU